rnacentral:rRNA from 1 species
UACGGAGGGUGCAAGCGUUAUCCGGAUUCACUGGGUUUAAAGGGUGUGUAGGCGGCUUUUUAAGUCAGUGGUGAAAUCUCCGGGCUCAACCCGGAAACUGCCAUUGAUACUAUUAGUCUUGAAUUCUGUUGAGGUGGGCGGAAUACAUCAUGUAGCGGUGAAAUGCUUAGAUAUGAUGUAGAACACCGAUGGCGAAGGCAGCUCACUAAGCAGACAUUGACGCUGAGGCACGAAAGCGUGGGGAUCAAACAGG